GCUGCUCUGUACCGCGUGCUUUGGUGGGUCUUCUCCGUUCCCAUCAUCAUGUUCGAUGUCAAGAUCUACGGCCAGUGGUUCACCGAGGGGAAGAAGUUCCUGUCGAUGGUGGCGAACCCGACGAGCCAGAUCACGGUGAUCGGGAACCUGGUCUGCGCGAGGGCGGCGGCAAGGAUGGGGUGGGAGGAGAUCGCCACCUGUAUGUUCUCCCUCGGCAUGGCGCACUACCUCGUCCUAUUCGUGACGCUGUACCAGCGGUUCGUCGGGUGCAACAGCCUUCCCGCCAUGCUCCGCCCC
rnacentral:lncRNA from 1 species